UACGUAGGGUGCAAGCGUUGUCCGGAAUUAUUGGGCGUAAAGAGCUCGUAGGCGGUUUGUCGCGUCUGACUGUGAAAACCCGAGGCUCAACCUCGGGCCUGCAGUGGGGUACGGGCAGACUAGAGUGGCGGUAGGGGAGAUUGGAAUUCCUGGUGUAAGCGGUGGAAUGCGCAGAUAUCAGGAGGAACACCAAUGGCGAAGGCAGAUCUCUGGGCCGUAACUGACGCUGAGGCACGAAAGCGUGGGGAGCAAACAGG
rnacentral:rRNA from 1 species